rnacentral:rRNA from 1 species
GACGAACGCUGGCGGCGUGCUUAACACAUGCAAGUCGAACGGAAAGGCCUGCUUUCCCUUGUGGAUUGCGGGUACUCGAGUGGCGAACGGGUGAGUAACACGUGAGUGAUCUGCCCCCAACUUGGGUAUAAGCCUGGGAAACUGGGUCUAAUUCCCGAUAGGACUGCAGGGUGGUGCCUGUGGUGGAAAACGAUUUUCUAGUGGUUGGGGAUGAGCUCGCGGCCUAUCAGCUUGUUGGUGGGGUAAUGGCCUACCAAGGCGGCGACGGGUAGCCGGCCUUAGAGGGUGGACGGCGACAUUGGGACUGAGAUACGGCCCAGACUCCUACGUGAGGCAGCAGUGGGGAAUAUUGCACAAUGGGCGGAAGCCUGAUGCAGCGACGCCGCGUGGGGGAUGACGGCCUUCGGGUUGUAAACUCCUUUCGACCGCGAGGAAGCCACCUGGUUGGAAGGGUGGUGACGGUAGUGGUAGAAGAAGCACCGGCUAACUACGUG